rnacentral:rRNA from 1 species
GGGAUCGAAGAUGCUUAGAUACCAUCGUAGUCUUAACCAUCAACUAUGCCGACUGAGGAUUCUUGAAAUUUGUAAUUGAAUUUAAGAGCACUCCAUGAGAAAUCAAAGUCUUUGGGUUCCGGGGGGAGUAUGGUCGCAAGGCUGAAACUUAAAGGAAUUGACGGAAGGGCACACCAGGAGUGGAGCCUGCGGCUUAAUUUGACUCAACACGGGGAAACUUACCAGGUCCAGACAAAGUAAGGAUUGACAGAUUGAGAGCUCUUUCUUGAUUCUUUGGGUGGUGGUGCAUGGCCGUUCUUAGGUGGUGGAGUGAUUUGUCUGGUUAAUUCCGAUAACGAACGAGACCCCAACCUGCUAACUAGACUGGUCUAUUUCACGAUAGGUCAGAGCUUCUUAGAGGGACAUUGCGGGUUUACCGGAAGGAAGUUCGUG